rnacentral:rRNA from 1 species
UACAGAGGGUGCAAGCGUUGUUCUGAAUUAUUGGGCGUAAAGCGCGUGUAGGCGGCUUUGCAAGUCGGGUGUGAAAGCCCUCGGCUCAACCGAGGAAGUGCGCCCGAAACUGCAGAGCUUGAGUGCCGGAGAGGAUGGCGGAAUUCCCCAAGUAGAGGUGAAAUUCGUAGAUAUGGGGAGGAACACCGGUGGCGAAGGCGGCCAUCUGGACGGUCACUGACGCUGAGACGCGAAAGCGUGGGGAGCAAACAGG